rnacentral:lncRNA from 1 species
UGCCACCAUACCACAAACUUGCAGCAGAUUCCCAAAUCUAAUACAACCUUCACCUUUUUCAUCAAACCAAACCCUAUCAUCUCUAAUUAUAAUCCGUGUAAAUCAAUACAUGUAGCUAUUAAUUAUUGACAGAGAAAGAGAAAAGUGAUGGAGAUGGUGAAGGUGGGUCCGCUAAUCUGCUCCGGCGAAUAAGCCUAACACGUAGUGCUCUGAUUUCUCUGGUGUUCCUCUAGCUGUUGGAAGGGUCUGCCAUCCGCGUCUCCGUCGUGCCUCCUUCGUUUCUUUAGGUUUACAACUCAUCCAUCCGCACACAGUUCCGUUGCAAGAGAGAGAGGGAGACGACCCUGCCUCCGCCCUUCCACCGCUCCGAGUGUCACAAUCACGAUCAACGUCUCCACCCUAACAGUGGAAUCGGAAUUGGUUUGUCAUGUAUAGGGUUUCGAUUAUGAGAUACAGUAUCACCUUCGCCGUCUCCAUUCUCAAAGACCAGGUGUUUGGGUCUAUGCAUUGUUUGCUUGAUAGAUGAUCAUUAUUCAUUUAGAAGUUCAUAUUGAAUCAGAUAUGAAACUUAGACCAACACUCAACUCUGUAUCCACAUAUGAAGGAAGCAGCAACGAUCCAGGUGAAAAAGCUACUUAAAAGGCAAUCUUUUUGAAUGUCUAGAAGCAUGUUAUAUGAAAAUGAACUUGCUGAUGAUGGACAGGUCUAUAAAUGAAUUUCAUUCUCAUAGAUUUUGUAUAUACGACAUUACAAACAGGGCCCGCCCAAGGGGAUCCAACUCAUGGUAGGGCUUAGGCCCCCACUUGAGAAGGAGAAGGACCGCCAAUUUCUGUAAUAAAUUCCUUAAACCAGGUGAAUUCGACUUGAAACAGAGCAGAGCAGAGCUUGAGCGGCUGGUUAGUUUUGUGAUCAUCUAACACCUUAAGAGGAACAAAGGGGGCGAAUAGACAAUUGGAGGGAUGAAUCGACUGUCGAAUAAUUGGGGAGAAACAAAGGGGCGUGCAGCAAUGAGGAUUGAUUCUAUCUCGAGUCUUGGCCUGAACGACUGAAGUUUCUUAUUCCUAAGAAGGCUUCUGUGAUGGUUUGCCAAUAAAAUAAAAGGGUACUUGUUAGACCCACUUCUUUAGUUCUUAUAAAA